rnacentral:miRNA from 14 species
AGGACUGUCCAACCUGAGAAUG